UACGGAGGGUGCAAGCGUUGCUCGGAAUCAUUGGGCGUAAAGCGUACGUAGGCGGCCUGGUAAGUCGGGUGUGAAAGCCCUGGGCUCAACCCAGGAAGUGCACUCGAAACUGUCAGGCUUGAAUAUGGAAGAGGGUCGCGGAAUUCCCGGUGUAGAGGUGAAAUUCGUAGAUAUCGGGAGGAACACCAGUGGCGAAGGCGGCGACCUGGGCCAAUAUUGACGCUGAGGUGCGAAAGCGUGGGGAGCGAACAGG
rnacentral:rRNA from 1 species